rnacentral:rRNA from 1 species
CACCGCCCGUCACACCAUGGGAGGCGAUUGCUCCAGAAGUGGCUGCGCCAACCCGCAAGGGAGGCAGGUCCCCAAGGAGUGAUCGGUAACUGGGGUG